GGGAAGUGCCUUACCACCCUGAACGUGCCUGAUCUCAUCUGAUCAUGGAAGCUAAGGAGAGUUGGGUGUGGUUAGUACUUGGAUGGGAGACCACCUGGGAUUAUCAGGUGCUGUAGGCU
rfam:Mus musculus chromosome 1, GRC primary reference assembly.